AUGGCUGUCGUCAGCUCGUGUCGUGAGAUGUUCGGUUAAGUCCGCUAACGAGCGCAACCCUCGCUGUGUGUUAUAUGUGUCACACGGGACUGCCGGUCUUAAGCCGGAGGAAGUGGGAUGAUGUCAAGUCAGCAUGGCCUUUAUAUCCUGGGCUACACACACGCUACAAUGGCCAACACAAUAGGUUGCUAAGCCGCGAGGUGGCGCCAAUCCAUAAAGUUGGUCUCAGUUCAGAUUGUAGGCUGCAACCCGCCUGCAUGAAGAUGGAGUUGCUAGUAACCGCAGGUCAGCUAUACUGCGGUGAAUACGUUCCCGGGGCUU
rnacentral:rRNA from 1 species